AUGGCUCAGCACCUCGAUCCGGCGAGCCAGGCGCCACCGGAAACACUCACCAUCACCAAGGACGACAAGGAAGAGCAGAUCACCAACUUCGCCCGCGUUCUCUGGUAUGCACAACAGCGGCAACUUCAAGGUUUUCUGAUGGGCUCUCUGUCUCGCGAGAUCCUUGCACAAGUCGUCACCCUUCAAACGCCGGCGGAGGUGUGGGCAGCGAUCCACGCCACCUUUGCUGCCCAAACUCAGGCGCAAGCCAUCAACACGCGCAUCGAGCUCACAAACCUGAAGAAGGGGAACCUGAGCAUGACGGAGUAUCUUGCUAAGAUCAAGAUGCUCUCUGAUGAGAUUGCAUGCACAGGGGCGGCGCUCGGCAGUGCUGAGAUCGUUUCCCAUGUUCUGGCCGGACUUGACCUCGACUACAACCCGGUGGUCUCGGCCCUUGCAGCACGGUAG
rnacentral:rRNA from 1 species